UACGAGGGGUCCUAGCGUUGUUCGGAAUCAUUGGGCGUAAAGCGCAUGUAGGCGGCCCAGCAAGUCAGAUGUGAAAGCCCGGGGCUUAACCUCGGAAGUGCAUUUGAAACUGUUGGGCUUGAGUACGAUAGAGGAUAGCGGAAUUCCUGGUGUAGUGGUGAAAUACGUAGAUAUCAGGAGGAACAUCAGUGGCGAAGGCGGCUAUCUGGAUCGAUACUGACGUUGAGAUGCGAAAGCGUGGGGAUCAAACAGG
rnacentral:misc_RNA from 1 species